GACGAACGCUGGCGGCGUGCCUAAUACAUGCAAGUCGAACGAACUCUGGUAUUGAUUGGUGCUUGCAUCAUGAUUUACAUUUGAGUGAGUGGCGAACUGGUGAGUAACACGUGGGAAACCUGCCCAGAAGCGGGGGAUAACACCUGGAAACAGAUGCUAAUACCGCAUAACAACUUGGACCGCAUGGUCCGAGUUUGAAAGAUGGCUUCGGCUAUCACUUUUGGAUGGUCCCGCGGCGUAUUAGCUAGAUGGUGGGGUAACGGCUCACCAUGGCAAUGAUACGUAGCCGACCUGAGAGGGUAAUCGGCCACAUUGGGACUGAGACACGGCCCAAACUCCUACGGGAGGCAGCAGUAGGGAAUCUUCCACAAUGGACGAAAGUCUGAUGGAGCAACGCCGCGUGAGUGAAGAAGGGUUUCGGCUCGUAAAACUCUGUUGUUAAAGAAGAACAUAUCUGAGAGUAACUGUUCAGGUAUUGACGGUAUUUAACCAGAAAGCCACGGCUAACUACGUGCCAGCAGCCGCGGUAAUACGUAGGUGGCAAGCGUUGUCCGGAUUUAUUGGGCGUAAAGCGAGCGCAGGCGGUUUUUUAAGUCUGAUGUGAAAGCCUUCGGCUCAACCGAAGAAGUGCAUCGGAAACUGGGAAACUUGAGUGCAGAAGAGGACAGUGGAACUCCAUGUGUAGCGGUGAAAUGCGUAGAUAUAUGGAAGAACACCAGUGGCGAAGGCGGCUGUCUGGUCUGUAACUGACGCUGAGGCUCGAAAGUAUGGGUAGCAAACAGGAUUAGAUACCCUGGUAGUCCAUACCGUAAACGAUGAAUGCUAAGUGUUGGAGGGUUUCCGCCCUUCAGUGCUGCAGCUAACGCAUUAAGCAUUCCGCCUGGGGAGUACGGCCGCAAGGCUGAAACUCAAAGGAAUUGACGGGGGCCCGCACAAGCGGUGGAGCAUGUGGUUUAAUUCGAAGCUACGCGAAGAACCUUACCAGGUCUUGACAUACUAUGCAAAUCUAAGAGAUUAGACGUUCCCUUCGGGGACAUGGAUACAGGUGGUGCAUGGUUGUCGUCAGCUCGUGUCGUGAGAUGUUGGGUUAAGUCCCGCAACGAGCGCAACCCUUAUUAUCAGUUGCCAGCAUUAAGUUGGGCACUCUGGUGAGACUGCCGGUGACAAACCGGAGGAAGGUGGGGAUGACGUCAAAUCAUCAUGCCCCUUAUGACCUGGGCUACACACGUGCUACAAUGGAUGGUACAACGAGUUGCGAACUCGCGAGAGUAAGCUAAUCUCUUAAAGCCAUUCUCAGUUCGGAUUGUAGGCUGCAACUCGCCUACAUGAAGUCGGAAUCGCUAGUAAUCGCGGAUCAGCAUGCCGCGGUGAAUACGUUCCCGGGCCUUGUACACACCGCCCGUCACACCAUGAGAGUUUGUAACACCCAAAGUCGGUGGGGUAACCUUUUAGGAACCAGCCGCCGAAGGUGGGACAGAUGAUUAGGG
rnacentral:rRNA from 1 species